ACGGAGCAGCGAGUACUUCCUUGGCAGAAUGCCCGGGUAAUCUUGUUAAACUCCGUCGUGCUGGGGAUAGAGCAUUGCAAUUAUUGCUCUUCAACGAGGAAUUCCUAGUAAGCGCAAGUCAUCAGCUUGCGUUGAUUACGU
rnacentral:rRNA from 1 species